rfam:Micromonas sp. RCC299 chloroplast, complete genome.
GCGGGUAUAACUCAAUGGUAGAGUGCCAUCCUUCCAAGUUGGACGUUGCGUGUUCGAAUCACGUUACCCGCU